UUAAGCGACUAAGCGUACACGGUGGAUGCCCUGGCAGUCAGAGGCGAUGAAGGACGUGCUAAUCUGCGAAAAGCGUCGGUAAGGUGAUAUGAACCGUUAUAACCGGCGAUGUCCGAAUGGGGAAACCCAGUGUGAUUCGUCACACUAUCGUUAACUGAAUACAUAGGUUAACGAGGCGAACCGGGGGAACUGAAACAUCUAAGUACCCCGAGGAAAAGAAAUCAACCGAGAUUCCCCCAGUAGCGGCGAGCGAACGGGGAGCAGCCCAGAGUCUGAAUCAGCUUGUGUGUUAGUGGAACGGUCUGGAAAGUCCGACGGUACAGGGUGAUAGUCCCGUACACCAAAAUGCACAGGCUGUGAACUCGAAGAGUAGGGCGGGACACGUGGUAUCCUGUCUGAAUAUGGGGGGACCAUCCUCCAAGGCUAAAUACUCCUGACUGACCGAUAGUGAACCAGUACCGUGAGGGAAAGGCGAAAAGAACCCCGGCGAGGGGAGUGAAAAAGAACCUGAAACCGUGUACGUACAAGCAGUGGGAGCACCUUCGGGUGUGACUGCGUACCUUUUGUAUAAUGGGUCAGCGACUUAUAUUCUGUAGCAAGGUUAACCGUAUAGGGGAGCCGCAGGGAAACCGAGUCUUAACUGGGCGUUAAGUUGCAGGGUAUAGACCCGAAACCCGGUGAUCUAGCCAUGGGCAGGUUGAAGGUUGGGUAACACUAACUGGAGGACCGAACCGACUAAUGUUGAAAAAUUAGCGGAUGACUUGUGGCUGGGGGUGAAAGGCCAAUCAAACCGGGAGAUAGCUGGUUCUCCCCGAAAGCUAUUUAGGUAGCGCCUCGUGAACUCAUCUUCGGGGGUAGAGCACUGUUUCGGCUAGGGGGUCAUCCCGACUUACCAACCCGAUGCAAACUACGAAUACCGAAGAAUGUUAUCACGGGAGACACACGGCGGGUGCUAACGUCCGUCGUGAAGAGGGAAACAACCCAGACCGCCAGCUAAGGUCCCAAAGUCAUGGUUAAGUGGGAAACGAUGUGGGAAGGCACAGACAGCCAGGAUGUUGGCUUAGAAGCAGCCAUCAUUUAAAGAAAGCGUAAUAGCUCACUGGUCGAGUCGGCCUGCGCGGAAGAUGUAACGGGGCUAAACCAUGCACCGAAGCUGCGGCAGCGACACUAUGUGUUGUUGGGUAGGGGAGCGUUCUGUAAGCCUGCGAAGGUGUGCUGUGAGGCAUGCUGGAGGUAUCAGAAGUGCGAAUGCUGACAUAAGUAACGAUAAAGCGGGUGAAAAGCCCGCUCGCCGGAAGACCAAGGGUUCCUGUCCAACGUUAAUCGGGGCAGGGUGAGUCGACCCCUAAGGCGAGGCCGAAAGGCGUAGUCGAUGGGAAACAGGUUAAUAUUCCUGUACUUGGUGUUACUGCGAAGGGGGGACGGAGAAGGCUAUGUUAGCCGGGCGACGGUUGUCCCGGUUUAAGCAUGUAGGCUGGUUAUCCAGGCAAAUCCGGAUAAUCAAGGCUGAGGUGUGAUGACGAGGCACUACGGUGCUGAAGUAACAAAUGCCCUGCUUCCAGGAAAAGCCUCUAAGCAUCAGGUAACAUCAAAUCGUACCCCAAACCGACACAGGUGGUCAGGUAGAGAAUACCAAGGCGCUUGAGAGAACUCGGGUGAAGGAACUAGGCAAAAUGGUGCCGUAACUUCGGGAGAAGGCACGCUGGUGUGUAGGUGAAGCCCCUGCGGGUGGAGCUGAGACCAGUCGAAGAUACCAGCUGGCUGCAACUGUUUAUUAAAAACACAGCACUGUGCAAACACGAAAGUGGACGUAUACGGUGUGACGCCUGCCCGGUGCCGGAAGGUUAAUUGAUGGGGUUAUCCGUAAGGAGAAGCUCUUGAUCGAAGCCCCGGUAAACGGCGGCCGUAACUAUAACGGUCCUAAGGUAGCGAAAUUCCUUGUCGGGUAAGUUCCGACCUGCACGAAUGGCGUAAUGAUGGCCAGGCUGUCUCCACCCGAGACUCAGUGAAAUUGAACUCGCUGUGAAGAUGCAGUGUACCCGCGGCAAGACGGAAAGACCCCGUGAACCUUUACUAUAGCUUGACACUGAACAUUGAGCCUUGAUGUGUAGGAUAGGUGGGAGGCUUUGAAGCGUGGACGCCAGUCUGCGUGGAGCCAACCUUGAAAUACCACCCUUUAAUGUUUGAUGUUCUAACGUUGGCCCCUGACCGGGGUUGCGGACAGUGUCUGGUGGGUAGUUUGACUGGGGCGGUCUCCUCCCAAAGCGUAACGGAGGAGCACGAAGGUUAGCUAAUCCUGGUCGGACAUCAGGAGGUUAGUGCAAUGGCAUAAGCUAGCUUGACUGCGAGCGUGACGGCGCGAGCAGGUGCGAAAGCAGGUCAUAGUGAUCCGGUGGUUCUGAAUGGAAGGGCCAUCGCUCAACGGAUAAAAGGUACUCCGGGGAUAACAGGCUGAUACCGCCCAAGAGUUCAUAUCGACGGCGGUGUUUGGCACCUCGAUGUCGGCUCAUCACAUCCUGGGGCUGAAGUAGGUCCCAAGGGUAUGGCUGUUCGCCAUUUAAAGUGGUACGCGAGCUGGGUUUAGAACGUCGUGAGACAGUUCGGUCCCUAUCUGCCGUGGGCGCUGGAGAAUUGAGGGGGGCUGCUCCUAGUACGAGAGGACCGGAGUGGACGCAUCACUGGUGUUCGGGUUGUCAUGCCAAUGGCACUGCCCGGUAGCUAAAUGCGGAAGAGAUAAGUGCUGAAAGCAUCUAAGCACGAAACUUGCCCCGAGAUGAGUUCUCCCUGAGACUUUAAGUCUCCUGAAGGAACGUUGAAGACGACGACGUUGAUAGGCCGGGUGUGUAAGCGCAGCGAUGCGUUGAGCUAACCGGUACUAAUGAACCGUGAGGCUUAACCUU
rnacentral:rRNA from 1 species